rnacentral:rRNA from 1 species
AGAAUCAACGCUGGCGGCGUGCCUAACACAUGCAAGUCGAACGAGAAGGUGGAGCAAUCCAUGAGUAAAGUGGCGCACGGGUGAGUAACACGUGACUAACCUACCCUUGAGUGGGGGAUAACCUAGAGAAAUCUGGGCUAAUACCGCAUAAUACCUUCGGGUCAAAGGAGCAAUUCGCUUAAGGAGGGGGUCGCGGCCGAUUAGUUAGUUGGCGGGGUAAUGGCCCACCAAGACUAUGAUCGGUA